GAUGAACGCUGGCGGCGUGCCUAAUACAUGCAAGUCGAGCGAACAGAUAAGGAGCUUGCUCCUUUGACGUUAGCGGCGGACGGGUGAGUAACACGUGGAUAACCUACCUAUAAGACUGGGAUAACUUCGGGAAACCGGAGCUAAUACCGGAUAACAUAUUGAACCGCAUGGUUCAAUAGUGAAAGGCGGCUUUGCUGUCACUUAUAGAUGGAUCCACGCCGUAUUAGCUAGUUGGUAAGGUAACGGCUUACCAAGGCAACGAUACGUAGCCGACCUGAGAGGGUGAUCGGCCACACUGGAACUGAGACACGGUCCAGACUCCUACGGGAGGCAGCAGUAGGGAAUCUUCCGCAAUGGGCGAAAGCCUGACGGAGCAACACCGCGUGAGUGAUGAAGGUCUUCGGAUCGUAAAACUCUGUUAUCAGGGAAGAACAAAUGUGUAAGUAACUGUGCACAUCUUGACGGUACCUGAUCAGAAAGCCACGGCUAACUACGUG
rnacentral:rRNA from 1 species